rnacentral:rRNA from 1 species
AAUUCGACGCAGCAGUGAGGAAUAUUGGUCAAUGGGAGAGAUCCUGAACCAGCCAAGCCGCGUGAGGGAAGACGGCCCUAUGGGUUGUAAACCUCUUUUGUCGGAGAACAAAACCCGGGACGUGUCCCGGACUGCGUGUAUCCGAAGAAAAAGCAUCGGCUAACUCCGUGCCAGCAGCCGCGGUAAUACGGAGGAUGCGAGCGUUAUCCGGAUUUAUUGGGUUUAAAGGGUGCGUAGGCGGUCCGUUAAGUCAGCGGUAAAAUUGCGGGGCUCAACCCCGUCGAGCCGCUGCAACUGGCAGACUU